rnacentral:rRNA from 1 species
UUUUUGAAAGUUAAGAGAAUUCACUCCACCCCUUUAAGAGACGAUAUGCCUCAGGAGAUACACCUGUACCCAUGCCGAACACAGAAGUUAAGCCCUAGAACGCCGGAAGUAGUUGGGGGUUGCCCCCUGUGAGAUAGGGAAGUCGCUUAGC